AAUGAUUAAUAGGGAUAGUUGGGGGCAUUGGUAUUGAGUCNCUAGCAGGUAGAAAUUCUUGGAUUGACAUGCAAGUACCAACUAGUCUCGCGAANGCACUCUUGCCAAGGGAUGUUUUACAUUACAUCAAGAACAAAGGUUAGGGGAUCGAAAACGAUCUGUACCUUUGUAGUCAGAACGGUUAACUAUGCCGACUAGGGAUUGGGCAACCUCAAUUAUGAUGUGUUGCUCAGCANCUUACNAGAAUCUAGGUCUUUGGGUUCUGGGGGGAGUAUGGUCGCAAGGCUGUAAACUUAACMGAAUUGWYKGMMGGGCACCACCWRGUGUGGAGCCUGSGGCUUAAUUUGACUCAACACGGGAAACUCACCAGGUCCAGACAUAACUAGGAUUGACAGAUUGAUAGCUCUUUCAUGAUUUUAUGGGUGGUGGUGCAUGGCCGUUCUUAGUUGGUGGAGUGAUUUGUCUGGUUAAUUCCGAUAACGAACGAGACCUUAACCUGCUAAAUAGCCAGGCCGGCUUUUGCUGGUCGCCGGCUUCUUAGAGGGACUGUCAGCGUCUAGCUGACGGAAGUUUGAGGCAAUAACAGGUCUGUGAUGCCCUUAGAUGUUNUGGGCCGCACGCGCGCUACACUGACAGAGCCAGCGAGUUAUUUCACCUAGGCCGAUUUUCUUUUAUCAUGAAAGGCC
rnacentral:rRNA from 1 species